UACGUAGGUGGCAAGCGUUGUCCGGAAUUAUUGGGCGUAAAGCGCGCGCAGGUGGUUUCUUAAGUCUGAUGUGAAAGCCCACGGCUCAACCGUGGAGGGUCAUUGGAAACUGGGAAACUUGAGUGCAGAAGAGGAAGUGGAAUUCCAAGUGUAGCGGUGAAAUGCGUAGAGAUUUGGAGGAACACCAGUGGCGAAGGCGACUUUCUGGUCUGUAACUGACGCUGAGGCGCGAAAGCGUGGGGAGCAAACAGG
rnacentral:rRNA from 1 species